AAAAAGAUAGUAAGUUCAAUAGUCAAAACUACACCUCAAUUAUAGAUAGAAUACAAUAAUUUCCAUAACAACUGAUUUUUGAAGAUGAUUAUUACUAUUAAAUUCUAUUCUGGUUUUCUCUAAUUAUUCAGCACCAGUUUGUUCAAUACAAACUUCUAGACACUGCUUUGAAGGCCAAUGAAUUAUGAUAAUGUGCAAACAUUAGUCUACAUGCACAUUUUUAUUCUUUAACUCACCAUUGCAUCCAGGUUUAGAAAGGAAGAAAAUAAAUAAUCAGAUGGUGAAAAUACCAUAAAACAUGUGUGCAACAGUGCAUGCAUGAUAAAUUAUUAGAAACAAAGUUCCAAGUUAAAAUCCUAAGGCAAUUUAUCAUCCAUCAAUGCUCAAUAAGCUGAAGAUAAAGAUGCAGAAAACAAGAAAAGCACACUUACUUCAUGCUCUCAAGCUUGCAAUUUUUGCUAAAGAUUAGAAAUUUAACAUUUGAAAGAAAAGACAAAUCAAUAUGCCAGCAAAAAUCUACAAAUUUCCAUUUACACCAGCAAAACUAACAAACCCUCACCUUCAGUAGUGAGCUUUCAUACUUGACUCCUAAAUAAAUUAAAGCUAAAUUUCUUUUAGUAAUCAAGAACCAACCAAAUCAAUCAAAAUUACAAUCUCACAUCACCAUUAUCUGAUGAAAAAUCUUAAUUCAAAACACAGCUUAUAAAAUCAAUUUGACAACAAGACAUUCAAUUCACAACACACAAACCACAACCAUUAGCUCCAAAACCCCACAAAGUCCACAAUUUAUAGCUUGAAUUUGAUGACCCUGCAAACGCACACCAGCGCGUAUAAAAAUUCAGGCAAACCUUAACCCUAAUCCAUCAAGAGAAAUGAAUGAAAUAUAUAUAUAAAUAUAGGCUCGUAAUCAGUAGCUAGUUUGAUACCCAAAACCAUACUCCUUAAUCUCCUAGCUUUCUAUCUAGCAUUUUGUUGCUUCCAUAAAUUCCCAGUAAAAUCAUUGGUUGGGAUAAGUUCUUUGAUGAUUAAAGAAGGCAGUGGGACCUAGUUUGUCUCUCAAAGGUGUUGGAAUUGCAUCUCUCUCUCUGUCUUUCGUUUGAUAUUCCAUUUCCAGGAAAAAGGAACAUCCAAGCUUGAUUAAUUGAAGGGAACAGAGGGAUUGAGGCAAUUUUGUUGGUGUUGGACAAAUGAAUCUUGCCUGGAAUUGGUUGGAGAAGAUAAAUUUCUGUCACUACAACUCAUGCCCCUCUCCCUCUCUGUUAUCCCCCAAUCUCCUCUCCCAUUUC
rnacentral:misc_RNA from 1 species